ACGUAAAACGUGAGUAUUAGACACACCGCGUGCUGUUUCGUGUCGCUGCAAAGUAAAACUAUGAGAAAGUGAAAAAAAAAGAGAAAUAUUGGAAUUUAAAAAAAAAGAAACAAUCUCGAAAUGAAUAUUGAAACUGACUUACAUUUGAUACAUAACGAAAAAACGUACCUGUAACCAUACUCUCGUAGAAGAAUUCCUAGGAUGGGUGGAAGAAAUAUUGAACCUAAUGCACUACCAGAUAUGCAGAGCCCAUUUGCAAGUCCACGUAACCGUACAAAGUAUGAAGUUACUAUAUACACAGUUGGGGGAAAAGAUAACCCUGCUCCAGUUCCUACCAGAACACCA